rnacentral:rRNA from 1 species
UGGGAAUAUUGGACAAUGGGCGAAAGCCUGAUCCAGCGACACCGCGUGGAGGAAGACGGCCUUCGGGUUGUAAACUCCUUUUCCUUGGGACGAUUAUGACGGUACCAGGGGAAUAAGGGACGGCUAACUACGUGCCAGAAGCCUCGGUGAUACGUAGGUCUCGAGCGUUAUCCGGAAUUAUUGGGCGUAAAGCGCUUGUAGGCGGUUUCGUACGUUGGGUGUAAAAUCUCCAGGCUUAACUUGGAGUGUGCACCCAAGACUGCGAAACUCGAGUCCAACAGGGGUGAGCGGAAUUGGCGGUGUAGCAGUGAAAUGCGUUGAUAUCGCCAAGAACACCGAUGGCGAAGGCAGCUCACUAGGUUGGUACUGACGCUGAGGAGCGAAAGCGUGGGGAGCGAAC